AGGACGAACGCUGGCGGCGUGCUUAACACAUGCAAGUCGAGCGGAAAGGCCCUUCGGGGUACUCGAGCGGCGAACGGGUGAGUAACACGUGAGUAAUCUGCCCCUAGCUCUGGGAUAGCUCCGGGAAACCGGGAUUAAUACCAGAUACGACCACUUUAGACAUCUUCUGUGGUGGAAAGAACUUCGGCUAGGGAUGAACUCGCGGCCUAUCAGCUUGUUGGUGAGGUAACGGCUCACCAAGGCGACGACGGGUAGCCGGCCUGAGAGGGCGACCGGCCACACUGGGACUGAGACACGGCCCAGACUCCUACGGGAGGCAGCAGUGGGGAAUAUUGCGCAAUGGGCGAAAGCCUGACGCAGCGACGCCGCGUGGGGGAUGAAGGCCUUCGGGUUGUAAACCCUUUCAGCAGGGACGAAGCGAAAGUGACGGUACCUGCAGAAGAAGCGCCGGCUAACUACGUGCCAGCAGCCGC
rnacentral:rRNA from 1 species